AGUGAACGCUGGCGGUAGGCCUAACACAUGCAAGUCGAACGGCAGCACAGUAAGAGCUUGCUCUUACGGGUGGCGAGUGGCGGACGGGUGAGGAAUACAUCGGAAUCUACUUUUUCGUGGGGGAUAACGUAGGGAAACUUACGCUAAUACCGCAUACGACCUACGGGUGAAAGCAGGGGAUCUUCGGACCUUGCGCGAUUGAAUGAGCCGAUGUCGGAUUAGCUAGUUGGCGGGGUAAAGGCCCACCAAGGCGACGAUCCGUAGCUGGUCUGAGAGGAUGAUCAGCCACACUGGAACUGAGACACGGUCCAGGCUCCUACGGGAGGCAGCAGUAGGGAAUGUUGGACAAUGGGGGCAAGCCUGAUCCAGCCAGCCCGCGUGGGGGAAGAAGGCCUUCGGGUUGUAAGGCCCUUUUGUUGGGAAAGAAAAGCAGCAGGUUAAUACCCCGCUGUUCUGACGGUACCCAAAGAAUAAGCACCGGCUAACUUCGUG
rnacentral:rRNA from 1 species